GACGAACGCUGGCGGCGUGCUUAACACAUGCAAGUCGAGCGGUAAGGCCUUUCGGGGUACACGAGCGGCGAACGGGUGAGUAACACGUGGGUGAUCUGCCCUGCACUCUGGGAUAAGCCUGGGAAACUGGGUCUAAUACUGGAUAUGACCUCAGCAUGCAUGUGCUGGGGUGGAAAGCUUUUGUGGUGCAGGAUGGGCCCGCGGCCUAUCAGCUUGUUGGUGGGGUAAUGGCCUACCAAGGCGACGACGGGUAGCCGACCUGAGAGGGUGACCGGCCACACUGGGACUGAGACACGGCCCAGACUCCUACGGGAGGCAGCAGUGGGGAAUAUUGCACAAUGGGCGGAAGCCUGAUGCAGCGACGCCGCGUGAGGGAUGAAGGCCUUCGGGUUGUAAACCUCUUUCAGCAGGGACGAAGCGUGAGUGACGGUACCUGCAGAGGAAGCACCGGCUAACUACGUGCCAGCAGCCGCCGUAACAC
rnacentral:rRNA from 1 species